rnacentral:tRNA from 1 species
UCCCUGGUGGCUCAGACAGUAAAGCAUCUGCCUGCAAUGCGGGAGACCCGGGUUCGAUCCCUGGGUCGGGAA